rnacentral:rRNA from 1 species
GACGAAGGAUGCAAGCGUUAUCCGGAUUCAUUGGGUUUAAAGGGAGCGUAGGCGGAUUUGUAAGUCAGUGGUGAAAUCUCUUCGCUUAACGAAGAAACUGCCAUUGAUACUGCAGAUCUUGAGUACAGUUGCCGUUGGCGGAAUAUGACAUGUAGUGGUGAAAUACUUAGAUAUGUCAUAGAACACCGAUUGCGAAGGCAGCUAACGAAGCUGUAACUGACGCUGAGGCUCGAAAAGUGCGGGGAUCAAACAGG